rnacentral:tRNA from 1 species
GCUCUGUUGGUGUAGUCUGGCCAAUCGGCCUUUCGAGCCGAUGACCUGGGUUCAAAUUCCAGACGGAGCA